GAUCAGGUAGUUCAGCUGGUUAGAAUGCCGUCUUGUCAAGGCGCAGGUCGCGGGUUCAAGUCCCGUCCAGAUCU
rnacentral:tRNA from 1 species